GCCGGCUUAGCUCAGUGGCAGAGCGUCUGUCUUGUAAACAGAAGGUCGCAGGUUCGAUCCCUGCAGUCGGCA
rfam:Steinernema glaseri strain NC unplaced genomic scaffold GLAS_7481, whole genome shotgun sequence.